UUUUCUUUAAUGUUCUAAAUCUGGGGAAUAAAUAAGAGGGUGGUCUGGUCUGGAGACGUUUGUAGCAUAUGCGCCGGUGAAAUGCCACUACCCUUAUCGUUUUUUUACUUAUUCAAUAAAGCGGAACUGGGUGUCAAAGCCCAAUUUCUAGCAUUAAGGUCCUUUGCGGGCUGAUCCGGGUUGAAGACAUUGUCAGGUGGGGA
rnacentral:ncRNA from 1 species